CCUACGGGAGGCAGCAGUGAGGAAUUUUGGUCAAUGGCCGCAAGGCUGAACCAGCCAAGUCGCGUGAAGGAAGAAGGAUCUAUGGUUGGUAAACUUCUUUUAUAGAGGAGUAAAGGUAUCAAAGUGAGGAUAUGUGCAUUUACCCUAUGAAACAGCAUCGGCUAACCCCGUGCCAGCAGCCGCGGUGAUACGGAGGAUGCGAGCGUUGUCCGGAUUUAUUGGGUUUAAAGGGUGCGUAGGUCGUUGUUUAAGUCAGCUGUGAAAGUUUGUGGCUCAACCAAAAAAUGGCCGUUGAAACUGGAAGACUUGAGUGUGUUUGAGGUAGGCGGAAUGCGUGGUGUAGCGGUGAAAUGCAUAGAUAUAACGCAGAACACCGAUUGCGAAGGCAGCUUACUAAGCCAUAACUGACACUGAAGCACGAAAGCGUGGGGAUCAAACAGGAUUAGAUACCCUUGUAGUC
rnacentral:rRNA from 1 species